rnacentral:rRNA from 1 species
CUUCGGGAGAAGGCACGCUGGUGUGUAGGUGAAGUCCCUGCGGAUGGAGCUGAGACCAGUCGAAGAUACCAGCUGGCUGCAACUGUUUAUUAAAAACACAGCACUGUGCAAACACGAAAGUGGACGUAUACGGUGUGACGCCUGCCCGGUGCCGGAAGGUUAAUUGAUGGGGUUAUCCGUAAGGAGAAGCUCUUGAUCGAAGCCCCGGUAAACGGCGGCCGUAACUAUAACGGUCCUAAGGUAGCGAAAUUCCUUGUCGGGUAAGUUCCGACCUGCACGAAUGGCGUAAUGAUGGCCAGGCUGUCUCCACCCGAGACUCAGUGAAAUUGAACUCGCUGUGAAGAUGCAGUGUACCCGCGGCAAGACGGAAAGACCCCGUGAACCUUUACUAUAGCUUGACACUGAACAUUGAGCCUUGAUGUGUAGGAUAGGUGGGAGGCUUUGAAGCGUGGACGCCAGUCUGCGUGGAGCCAACCUUGAAAUACCACCCUUUAAUGUUUGAUGUUCUAACGUUGGCCCCUUACCGGGGUUGCGGACAGUGUCUGGUGGGUAGUUUGACUGGGGCGGUCUCCUCCCAAAGCGUAACGGAGGAGCACGAAGGUUAGCUAAUCCUGGUCGGACAUCAGGAGGUUAGUGCAAUGGCAUAAGCUAGCUUGACUGCGAGCGUGACGGCGCGAGCAGGUGCGAAAGCAGGUCAUAGUGAUCCGGUGGUUCUGAAUGGAAGGGCCAUCGCUCAACGGAUAAAAGGUACUCCGGGGAUAACAGGCUGAUACCGCCCAAGAGUUCAUAUCGACGGCGGUGUUUGGCACCUCGAUGUCGGCUCAUCACAUCCUGGGGCUGAAGUAGGUCCCAAGGGUAUGGCUGUUCGCCAUUUAAAGUGGUACGCGAGCUGGGUUUAGAACGUCGUGAGACAGUUCGGUCCCUAUCUGCCGUGGGCGCUGGAGAAUUGAGGGGGGCUGCUCCUAGUACGAGAGGACCGGAGUGGACGCAUCACUGGUGUUCGGGUUGUCAUGCCAAUGGCACUGCCCGGUAGCUAAAUGCGGAAGAGAUAAGUGCUGAAAGCAUCUAAGCACGAAACUUGCCCCGAGAUGAGUUCUCCCUGAGACUAUAAGUCUCCUGAAGGAACGUUAAAGACGAUGACGUUGAUAGGCCGGGUGUGUAAGCGCAGCGAUGCGUUGAGCUAACCGGUACUAAUGAACCGUGAGGCUUAACCUU